GACGAACGCUGGCGGCGUGCUUAACACAUGCAAGUCGAACGGAAAGGCCCUGCUUGCCGGGUACUCGAGUGGCGAACGGGUGAGUAACACGUGGGUGAUCUGCCCUGCACUUCGGGAUAAGCCUGGGAAACUGGGUCUAAUACCGGAUAGGAGCCAUUUUUAGUGUGAUGGUUGGAAAGUUUUUUCGGUGUAGGAUGAGCUCGCGGCCUAUCAGCUUGUUGGUGGGGUAAUGGCCUACCAAGGCGGCGACGGGUAGCCGGCCUGAGAGGGUGGACGGCCACAUUGGGACUGACAUACGGCCCAGACUCCUACGGGAGGCAGCAGUGGGGAAUAUUGCACAAUGGGCGCAAGCCUGAUGCAGCGACGCCGCGUGGGGGAUGACGGCCUUCGGGUUGUAAACUCCUUUCGCUAGGGACGAAGCUUUUUGUGACGGUACCUAGAUAAGAAGCACCGGCUAACUACGUG
rnacentral:rRNA from 1 species